UCACAGGUAGUCCAAGAGACUGACUGUUAGGGGCCGCUGCUGAUAAACCCCGCGGCAGUAGGCGAUGACAAACUUUUGUUUGUCUUGCCAUUUUAUUAUUGUGUUUGUAAAAUUGUUCUAUUUUUUUUUUUCCUCGAUGACGUCAGUAAAGAUUCCUGGGAGAAACUGUGUUACUGAUGACCCUUUAGCGCCUCCGAGCUUUGCAAAACAUGGACAAUUUCUCAUGUACUUAAAUCGUAAAAGCUGUCUCAUUAACAGGCGUCAGUCUAUUGUUGUUUAUAAUUCCUUUGCACCUAAAUGCCUGGCUGCUUCUUGCGGUGGACCACUGAUCGGUGGUACCGCAAGAAACAGGACCACCCUGACAUCACCACUCCUGAGACUUCUCUUGUCUAUUUAAGCCAGGAAAAUAUGGAGCUCAGGAGCAGUGCAUUGGGUUUGGACGAGUUUUUUAUUUAGAACUGUGACGGACAGCCG